AAGUCAUCCCUCGGGGAUUCUCGAGCUGAAAGAAGUUCCUCAGAUGUAUCCCAGCGGAAUGCAGACGAUCCCGUCGCAUGGCAGGAGAACCGAAAUCAACAAAGCCGGGUGCUUAUUGUUCUAAGUCAGCUCCGUGAUCCCAUCUUAUCAACACCUGACAAGUAUGGCGAAGCCUCCUUACUGAGCGAUAAACGUCACAGGAGGAGGCCGUCACUCCAGC